rnacentral:rRNA from 1 species
AGAGUUUGAUCCUGGCUCAGAUUGAACGCUGGCGGCAGGCCUAACACAUGCAAGUCGAGCGGUAGAGAGAAGCUUGCUUCUCUUGAGAGCGGCGGACGGGUGAGUAAUGCCUAGGAAUCUGCCUGGUAGUGGGGGAUAACGUUCGGAAACGGACGCUAAUACCGCAUACGUCCUACGGGAGAAAGCAGGGGACCUUCGGGCCUUGCGCUAUCAGAUGAGCCUAGGUCGGAUUAGCUAGUUGGUGAGGUAAUGGCUCACCAAGGCGACGAUCCGUAACUGGUCUGAGAGGAUGAUCAGUCACACUGGAACUGAGACACGGUCCAGACUCCUACGGGAGGCAGCAGUGGGGAAUAUUGGACAAUGGGCGAAAGCCUGAUCCAGCCAUGCCGCGUGUGUGAAGAAGGUCUUCGGAUUGUAAAGCACUUUAAGUUGGGAGGAAGGGCAGUUACCUAAUACGUGAUUGUUUUGACCGUCUACC